GGCAUGCCUAACACAUGUCAAAUACGAACGGAAACGACGAAAACAAUCCCUUCGGGGUGAGUGGCGCACGGGUGCGUAACGCGUGGGAACCUGCCCUUAGGUUUGGAAUAACAGUGAGAAAUCGCUGCUAAUACCAAAUAAUGUCUUCGGACCAAAGAUUUAUCGCCUUUGGAUGGGCCCGCGUAGGAUUAGCUAGUUGGUGGGGUAAAGGCUCACCAAGGCGACGAUCCUUAGCUGGUCUUAGAGGAUGAUCAGCCACACUGGGACUGAGACACGGCCCAGACUCCUACGGGAGGCAGCAGUGGGGAAUAUUGGACAAUGGGCGAAAGCCUGAUCCAGCAAUGCCGCGUGAGUGAUGAAGGCCUUAGGGUUGUAAAGCUCUUUUACCAGGGAUGAUAAUGACAGUACCUGGAGAAUAAGCUCCGGCUAACUCCGUGCCAGCAGCCGCGGUAAAACGGAGGGGGCAAGCGUUAUUCGGAAUUACUGGGCGUAAAGGGCGCGUAGGCGGCGUGGUAUGUCGAAGGUGAAAUCCCUCGGCCCAACCGAGGAACUGCCUUCGAAACUGCCAUGCUAA
rnacentral:rRNA from 1 species